GGGCAUACAACUGGAGAACAAGUGUAUAACUUGAGACGGUAUGUUCUUAGACUAUCUAUAUCUGAAUGACUCCUAUAAUGAUCCAUCAGUUGAAUCUAUACAGAUGUUCCAUGUUAUCAAUGAAGGUCUAUCUGAAGGCAAAUCGGUUUUAUUUGUGCAACACACUGAAAUGAGAAAAUUGUAUCACUGUAUUGUCUGUUCUGUUUUUGUGUCCAUACCAUGUGAACACUAUCCUGAGGUUCCAAGAUUCACAGAAUCCGGUCAAUCCAGCCUCAAAUUCAAACCAGUGAUCGUCAUUCACAAUCCUACAUCUCCCAUAAUUGCUCUUCUUUCUUGAGCUAAUAAGUUUUAUCCAGCCAAGUCAUAUCCUAAGCCAUCCAAACAAUACUGGAUGUUUCCCAACAUCGUAGGAAGCAUCCAAAAAGACUGACUGCACCCAUCCAGUUGUCUCCUAAUAUCACAAGUUAAUAGAACAACCAAAAAAUGGUCCAGAUUUACUAAAAUCUACAAAGCGCUGUUUCACCCUGAUAACAAUGAGGUUUGAUGUAUAAACCUGAAAAUGCAAUCACUACUGUCCACUACUCUCAAAAGAUUUUUGCAAUGAGCUACACUUCUAACUUCCUCCUUAUCCAUUAUAUGAUUCUCCGCUCCAUGAAUUAUUUUUAUAAAGAAGCACACAACUGAUAAAAAGGUUUGUGCAUCAAAACUCAACAACUACUGUCCACUGCGGUCAAAAGAUUUCUGCAAUGCACUAUACUUGGAACUUCCUCCUUAUCCAAUAUGUAAUUCUGUGCUCCAUUAACUAUUUUUAUAAAGAAGCAAACAACAGAUAAAAAGUUAUGUGCAGCCGAACUCCAUAACUACUGUCCACUACUAUCAAAAGAUUUCUGCAAUGAGCUACACUUCUAACUUCCUCCUUAUCCAUUAUAUGAAUCUCUGUUCCAUGAACUGUUUUUAUAAAGAAGCACACGUGAUAAACAGUGAAGACAACCAUUGUCAACUAUCAAUUCAGAAAAUGUCCCAACAAAACUCUAAACUGAUGCAGGCAGUGAAUAGUCAGUUAUUUCACAAAUGAAUUCAUAAUCACAAAAGUAACACAAUUAUAUAUAAAAUAUUGGAUGGAUGGCUUGUAUUAUAUUUAGCCUAUGUACAGUAAAUUUAUUUGGUGCCAGCCAAAGGAGGAUGGCCUUCCCCUGCUGAGUCUGGUUCCUCCCAAGGUUUCUCCCUAUACCACUCUGCUGAUGAUGCUCUAGCACUCUGCCCAUGAUGCUCCUCUUUCCUAAUUUAGGGAGUUUUUCCUUGCCGCUGUCGCCUUCUGGCUUGCUCACUGGGGUAUAAAGGCACAAUAUUUUCAAUGUAAACUGUGUAAAGUCUUUGUAAAAAAAAUAAAAAAAUAAAUAAAUACAUGAUGGAU